CCUACGGGAGGCAGCAGUGGGGAAUUUUGGACAAUGGGCGAAAGCCUGAUCCAGCCAUACCGCGUGCGGGAAGAAGGCCUUCGGGUUGUAAACCGCUUUUGUCAGGGAAGAAAUGCUUCGGGCUAAUACCCUGGGGUGAUGACGGUACCUGAAGAAUAAGCACCGGCUAACUACGUGCCAGCAGCCGCGGUAAUACGUAGGGUGCAAGCGUUAAUCGGAAUUACUGGGCGUAAAGCGUGCGCAGGCGGUUCUAUAAGACAGAUGUGAAAUCCCCGGGCUCAACCUGGGAACUGCAUUUGUGACUGUAGAGCUAGAGUACGGUAGAGGGGGGAUGGAAUUCCGCGUGUAGCAGUGAAAUGCGUAGAUAUGCGGAGGAACACCGAUGGCGAAGGCAACUCCCCUGGACCUGUACUGACGCUCAUGCACGAAAGCGUGGGGAGCAAACAGGAUUAGACUACCCUGGUAGUCCACGCCCUAAACGAUGUCAACUGGUUGUUGGGUAGGGUUUCUUCUCAGUAACGAAGCUAACGCGUGAAGUUGACCGCUGGGGAGUACGGCCGCAAGGUUGAAACUUUAAAGNGAAGUUGACGG
rnacentral:rRNA from 1 species